rnacentral:lncRNA from 1 species
UUGCGGUGGAGUUCAGCUGCCCAGCAAGGUAAAACCACCACAGGGAGAUAAGCAAAGGAAUGAAUAUGAAGGAGCUGAAGCAAAGGAGCUGAAAAGGAAGAUGCCACCAGGAAGUCACAUCACCUGAAUAUUAUGGCAGAAAGGAGGACAUGUUCUGCUAUGUCCAUCAUCAUGUUGAUGUUGAAAGACGGGUGGUACCAGCAACAUCUACCCUUCUGGCAAAAGGAGGGUGUUCUGGAAAAAGAAUUACAUUCUGUAGUGAUCUUCGUUUUCUGCUAACACGAUGUGACUAAAGACAAGAGUAAAGGUGAGUUUUAUUCUCUUUCUUCUGGACAGAAAU